CAUACCCCACUCCUCUCUCCUUGUUGUCGCGACACACACCAUUCUCGAUACUGGUUGUGCUUCCUCCAGUGGCCAUUUGCGAGAACGCGGAGGUUUACCAUGCGACCAGAACGUGACACCAUCCCCACCACCCAAGACCCAAAACGCGAACACGACGCACAUCCUUCCCAGCGCUAGUUACACUUUCAUCUGGUUGCCGCUUGCAAGAAUGGGCCAGAAGCGAUGCAACCAGAGCGACGCGGCAAGAAAGCGACAAGAGCACAGUGAGAACGCAAUGCAACCAGUUGUGCUUUUAGUGUCUAUCGAUGGUAACGAUUUUGUUCUAUGAAGAACAACAUUGUGCUUCGUAAGGUUUGUUAUGCAGGCCUAAUACAUCCAUCCUACCAGGAGUUAACAGUAUUGGGUGAGGACACAAUAUGACAAACCGAAGCCACCCUAAUGAAGAGAAUACAUGGACAACCUAAGCAAGCUAGGAGAAAGGACACAACUGAGGGAGAAAGUAGCAACAAUAGGACUAGGAUGAAAAGGAAUUUUCCCACUGUUACUUGUAUGAGAUGUGGCCUUGAAGGUCACAACAGCAGGGGCUUGCAAUAAUGGUGGUGUGCCACCUAAACCUAAAAAACGGAAACCCUCACCUGAAGUUGUUGUUACUCCUACUGCAGCUGCAACAACUCAAACAACAAUAUACUAAUAUUUUUGGCGAUCUAUUUUUACUUAGAAACCAUUUACUCUCAAACAUCAAUAUAGUAACUUAUUUUAAUUUCAUUCAUUCAAUGCAGAAAGAAAUGGUUUGCUUUCAAAAUGCACCAGUCACUGAAGAGGCUGCAAUUGAAGUUGCACCACCAGCAGCUGCUAUUGAAGUUUCCAAUGUCCCCACAUUUGUACCACUUGCACCUGCAGUCAGACCACCUCCUAUCCAACAUGCAAAUACUUCUAUGGUUAGAGUUCCAUUUCCAAGUGGAGUAUAUUUCCAAGAGUGUCACAGUCAAGCUUGAUGAGCUUCAUUCCUACACUACGUAUCCAACAACCUCAACCUUCUUCAAAGUGAUUCAACGUGUUUUGGACAUAUUUUGGAUAUAUUUUUGGAAAUUUCUAUUAUGACAGUGACAUUGUGGCAUGCUUUGGUGUCUUUGUUUUUUAUUUUUGUAAUGUACAAUAAUAGUAUAAAUUUUACUACUACUUGGGAACUUGGGUAUGUUAUGAGUAAUGAACAACAAUUUUAUGUUCUAUGCAUGCUCAUUUUAGUUUUA